UGUCAGGGCCCAUGGAGUGCGGGCUUGUGAACCCCGCCAGAGCCGGAAGGCAGCAACGGCAGCAUGCCCCGUAUCGCCGUGGUAGCCCUGGCUUUU
rnacentral:SRP_RNA from 1 species